rnacentral:lncRNA from 1 species
GGCCCCAGAGACCCAUGGGCUUUCUGUUCCUCUUUCUAGCCACUCCCACGCUCUUGGUCCUUUGGGGUUCUUGUACUCACCCGCAGUGGGUGUGGAACAGGACUCCUCAACACCCCACUUCCUCCCGCCUCUGAAGAGAGAGAUGUCCCAGGCCCACCUCCUGGGGCCUGCCUAGCACCGGAGACUCUCUUCAGUUUGCCUGUUGAGGAGAAGCAGAAGUCAACCACACUUGACUUCAACAGAGCCUGUAAAGCUGCGGGAGCUUAGGGUUUAUAAAGAGAGACCACAUGUCUUUAAGAAACUUGCCAAGACCGUGUAGGAGGAAAAACCCCAACUCACGGAUGACAACACUUGUCUCUUGGAUCCUAUCUUAUCAUUGGGCAAGAAAAAGCCGAUUUCUAAUUCCCUCCCAACUCCACAUUUCUCAGUCCUGCUCUAACUGAUCUGUCUGGAACCUUGUGAGGAAGCAGAAAAAUAAGAUCACACUUCUGGCCCUUCCCAUUACCGUGGUGGUUCGACACUUACGGGGUGCUAGACACUGCGGAAGGCAGCGGGAACUCAGCGGACUCUCACUUCCCCUUCAGAGCUGAGACCAAGUUGAAGGCUCAGGGCAGAGAUUGCCUCCUUCUGUGAGCCUGACACAAGGACCAUCCCAAGAGCCGUCCCUCACUGGCCUGCACCUCAGUCCUGGAGCCCAUUUCCUCUCCGUGAUGUCAACCGGUCCUCGUGGCACCCGGGAGGAGGAGGACAGAGGUUCUCAUCCCCACUCUCAGAGCACAGCUGGGCUUUGGCUGAGCGGUACUUACACACGGUUUCAUGACUCCAAACCCAGUGCUCUCUUUGCGCUCACUGUGUUUCCCAACCUUCUGUCAUACAAGGCCUCCCUCUGACUUUUGCCCUAUCCCCAGACCACCUGUACCACUGUUAAUGCAUUGUUCAAGGUGGGUGGCCCAUUAUUUUUUCCCUCAGUUAAAUGGCUUUGUUUAAAAAUGAAAUUUGCUAUCAUUGCCC